UACGAGGGGGGCGAGCGUUGUUCGGAAUCAUUGGGCGUAAAGCGCACGUAGGCGGCCCGGUAAGUCCGUUGUGAAAGUCAGAGGCUCAACCUCUGGAGGCCAAUGGAUACUGCCGGGCUAGAGUCCGGAAGAGGCGAGUGGAAUUCCUGGUGUAGCGGUGGAAUGCGCAGAUAUCAGGAGGAACACCAAUGGCGAAGGCAGCUCGCUGGGACGGUACUGACGCUGAGGUGCGAAAGCGUGGGGAGCGAACAGG
rnacentral:rRNA from 1 species